rnacentral:rRNA from 1 species
ACAACAGACGGAAACGACUGCUAAUACCGCAUAAGCGCACAGCUUCGCAUGAAGCAGUGUGAAAAACUCCGGUGGUACAAGAUGGACCCGCGUCUGAUUAGCUAGUUGGUAAGGUAACGGCUUACCAAGGCGACGAUCAGUAGCCGGCUUGAGAGAGUGAACGGCCACAUUGGGACUGAGACACGGCCCAGACUCCUACGGGAGGCAGCAGUGGGGAAUAUUGCACAAUGGGGGAAACCCUGAUGCAGCGACGCCGCGUGAGUGAAGAAGUAUUUCGGUAUGUAAAGCUCUAUCAGCAGGGAAGAUAAUGACGGUAUCUGACUAAGAAGCCCCGGCUAACUACGUGCCAGCAGCCGCGGUAAUACGUAGGGGGCAAGCGUUAUCCGGAUUUACUGGGUGUAAAGGGUGCGUAGGUGGCAAGGCAAGUCAGAUGUGAAAGCCCGGGGCUCAACCCCGGUAUUGCAUUUGAAACUGUUUAGCUAGAGUGCAGGAGAGGUAAGUGGAAUUCCUAGUGUAGCGGUGAAAUGCGUAGAUAUUAGGAGGAACACCAGUGGCGAAGGCGGCUUUCUGGACGACAACUGACGCUGAGGCGCGAAAGUGUGGGGAGCAAACAGGAUUAGAUACCCUGGUAGUCCACACCGUAAACGAUGGAUACUAGGUGUAGGAGGUAUCGACCCCUUCUGUGCCGCAGUUAACACAAUAAGUAUCCCACCUGGGGAGUACGACCGCAAGGUUGAAACUCAAAGGAAUUGACGGGGGCCCGCACAAGCAGUGGAGUAUGUGGUUUAAUUCGAAGCAACGCGAAGAACCUUACCUGGGCUUGACAUCCCUGGAAUCGAGUAGAGAUACUUGAGUGCCUUCGGGAAUCAGGUGACAGGUGGUGCAUGGUUGUCGUCAGCUCGUGUCGUGAGUUGUUGGGUUAAGUCCCGCAACGAGCGCAACCCCUAUUGUCAGUUGCCAUCAUUAAGUUGGGCACUCUGGCGAGACUGCCGGUGACAAAUCGGAGGAAGGUGGGGACGACGUCAAAUCAUCAUGCCCCUUAUGCCCAGGGCUGCACACGUACUACAAUGCCCAGUACAGAGGGGGCCGAAGCCGCGAGGCGGAGGAAAUCCUGAAAACUGGGCCCAGUUCGGACUGUAGGCUGCAACCCGCCUACACGAAGCCGGAAUCGCUAGUAAUGGCGCAUCAGCUACGGCGCCGUGAAUACGUUCCCGGGUCUUGCCCUCAAAGGCCGUCA